rnacentral:rRNA from 1 species
GCUUAACACAUGCAAGUCGAGCGAGAAUCGUUUAUUGAAGGCUUCGGCUGGAAAUAGAUGAGGAAAGCGGCGAACGGGUGAGUAACGCGUGGGCAACCUGGCCUUAAGAAAAGGAUAGCCCCCGGAAACGGGGAGUAAUACUUUAUGAGAAUGAAAGAGGGCAUCCUACUUUCAUUCAAAGCGCAAGCGCUUAAGGAUGGGCCCGCGUAUCAUUAGCUAGUUGGUGAGAUAACAGCCCACCAAGGCAACGAUGAUUAGCCGGUCUGAGAGGGCGAACGGCCACAUUGGAACUGAGAGACGGUCCAAACUCCUACGGGAGGCAGCAGUGGGGAAUAUUGCGCAAUGGAGAAGAACUCUGACGCAGCAAUACCGCGUGAGCGAAGAAGGUCUUCGGAUCGUAAAGCUCUGUUAUCAGGGAAGAAGAAAAUGACGGUACCUGAUGAGCAAGUCCCGGCUAACUACGUGCCAGCCGCCGCCGUAACAC